rnacentral:rRNA from 1 species
UGGGGAAUAUUGCACAAUGGGCGCAAGCCUGAUGCAGCCAUGCCGCGUGUGUGAAGAAGGCCUUCGGGUUGUAAAGCACUUUCAGCGGGGAGGAAGGCGGUGAGGCUAAUAACCUCACCGAUUGACGUUACCCGCAGAAGAAGCACCGGCUAACUCCGUGCCAGCAGCCGCGGUAAUACGGAGGGUGCAAGCGUUAAUCGGAAUUACUGGGCGUAAAGCGCACGCAGGCGGUCUGUCAAGUCGGAUGUGAAAUCCCCGGGCUCAACCUGGGAGCUGCAUCUGAUACUGGAAAGCUUGAGUCUCGUAGAGGGGGGUAGAGUUCCAGGUGUAGCGGUGAAAUGCGUAGAGAUCUGGAGGAAUACCGGUGGCGAAGGCGGCCCCCUGGACGAAGACUGACGCUCAGGUGCGAAAGCGUGGGGAGCAAACAGG